rnacentral:rRNA from 1 species
CCUACGGGAGGCAGCAGUGAGGAAUAGUGGUCAAUGGGCGCGAGCCUGAACCAGCCAAGUCGCGUGAGGGAAGACGGUCCUAUGGAUUGUAAACCUCUUUUGUCGGGGAGCAAAAGACGGCACGCGUGGCGUUCCGAGAGUACCCGAAGAAAAAGCAUCGGGUACCUCCGUGCCAGCAGCCGCGGUAAGACGGAGGAUGCGAGCGUUAUCCGGAUUGAUUGGGUUUACAGGGUGCGCAGGCGGAAGAUCAAGUCAGCGGUAAAAUUGGGAGGCGCAACCUCUUCGUGCCGUUGAAACUGGUUUUCUUGAGUGCGUGAGAAGUAUGCGGAAUGCGUGGUGUAGCGGU